CUUGAAACAGAAGCCACAGAUGAGGGUGGCAGCAGUGAUGAUGAUGACUUAGGAGAGGAGGGAGAGAGGGACGAUGAGGCAGAUGAUCUGUAUGACCUAAUGUCACGGUUGGUUCGCAAUGAGACGGCAUAUUUCUACUGGACAACAAGGAGGGAUUCAGUCGACUGUCGGUCUUUACGUAAAGACCAGAUGACCAAU